GAUGAAGAACGCAGCGAAGUGCGAUAAGUAAUGUGAAUUGCAGAAUUCAGUGAAUCAUCGAAUCUUUGAACGCACAUUGCGCCCCCCAGUAUUCUGGCGGGCAUGCCUGUUCGAGCGUCAUUUCAACCAUCAAGCCCUGCUUGUGUUGGGGUCCUGCGGCUGCCCGCAGGCCCUGAAAACCAGUGGCGGGCUCGCUAGUCACACCGAGCGCAGUGGCACAUCUCGCUCAGGGCGUGCGGCGGGCUCCAGCCGUUAAAGCACCCACCUUUCGCAAGGUUGACCUCGGAUCAGGUAGGGAUACCCGCUGAACUUAAGCAUAUCAAUAAGCGGAGGA
rnacentral:misc_RNA from 1 species